GCAGUCGAGGGGUAUAGGUUUUCGGACCUAGAGACCGGCGCACGGGUGCGUAACGCGUAUGCAAUCUACCUUUUACAGAGGGAUAGCCCAGAGAAAUUUGGAUUAAUACCUCAUAGUAUUAUUGAAUGGCAUCAUUUAAUAAUUAAAGUCACAACGGUAAAAGAUGAGCAUGCGUCCCAUUAGCUAGUUGGUAAGGUAACGGCUUACCAAGGCAACGAUGGGUAGGGAUCCUGAGAGGGAGAUCCCCCACACUGGUACUGAGACACGGACCAGACUCCUACGGGAGGCAGCAGUGAGGAAUAUUGGUCAAUGGGCGCAAGCCUGAACCAGCCAUGCCGCGUGCAGGAUGAAGCAUCUAUGGUGUGUAAACUGCUUUUGUACGAGAAGAAACACUCCUUCGUGAAGGAGCUUGACGGUAUCGUAAGAAUAAGGACCGGCUAACUCCGUGCCAGCAGCCGCGGUAAUACGGAGGGUCCAAGCGUUAUCCGGAAUCAUUGGGUUUAAAGGGUCCGUAGGCGGUUUUGUAAGUCAGUGGUGAAAGCCCAUCGCUCAACGGUGGAACGGCCAUUGAUACUGCAAGACUUGAAUUAUUAGGAAGUAACUAGAAUAUGUAGUGUAGCGGUGAAAUGCUUAGAUAUUACAUGGAAUACCAAUU
rnacentral:rRNA from 1 species